rnacentral:rRNA from 1 species
AACGAACGCUGGCGGCAUGCCUAACACAUGCAAGUCGAACGAGACCUUCGGGUCUCGUGGCGCACGGGUGCGUAACGCGUGGGAACCUGCCCUUAGGUUCGGAAUAACUCACCGAAAGGGGUUCUAAUACCGGAUAAUGUCUUCGGACCAAAGAUUUAUCGCCUUGGGAUGGGCCCGCGUUGGUUUAGCUAGUUGGUAGGGUAAAAGCCUACCAAGGAGAAGAUCCAUAGCUGGUCUGAGAGGAUGAUCAGACACACUGGGACUGAGACACGGCCCAGACUCAUACGGGAGGCAGCAGUGGGAAAUAUUGGAAAAUGGGAGAGAGCCUGAUCCAGCAAUGCCGCGUGAGUGAUGAAGGCAUUAGGGUUGUAAAGCUCUUUUACCCGGGAUGAUAAUGACAGUACCGGGAGAAUAAGCUCCGGCUAACUCCGUG